GAUGCCUAGUGGUUAGAGUGUCCGUCUCAUAUGCGGGAUGUCGUGGGUUCGAACCCCGGCUGAGUCA